rnacentral:snRNA from 1 species
GGAUGUGAGGGUGAUCUGGCUGUGACAUCUGUCACCCCACUGAACGCCAGGGUUGAUUUGGCUGAUCUGGCUGACUAGGAGGGUGUCCCCUUCCUCACUGUUCCAUGUGCGUCCCUUCUGAUGAAGAGGAAAGCCUUCCCCGAAUAGAGGUGGACCAGUCUUUGGUCGAAGGUAUACUAGUAGCUGCGCUCCCCCUGCUAGAACCUACAGACAGGCUCUCAAGAGAACAGGAGUCAGGGGCACAGAAGCUUCAGUCCUACCACUAUCUAGCUAUCUGCCCAUUAUAUAAUCCUCUCAACUUGUGGGCAUUAGCU